rnacentral:rRNA from 1 species
AGAGUUUGAUCCUGGCUCAGAAUCAACGCUGGCGGCGCGCUUAACACAUGCAAGUCGCACGAGAAAGUGGGAAACCAUGAGUACAGUGGCGUACGGGUGAGUAACACGUGGGUAAUCUACCUCUGAGUGGGGAAUAACCCUGGGAAACCGGGGCUAAUACCGCAUAAUCUCGAGAGAGGAAAGCAGCAAUGCGCUGAGAGAGGAGCCCGCGGCCGAUUAGCUAGUUGGUAGGGUAAGAGCCUACCAAGGCAGAGAUCGGUAGCCGGCCUGAGAGGGCACACGGCCACACUGGCACUGAAACACGGGCCAGACUCCUACGGGAGGCAGCAGUGGGGAAUCUUGCACAAUGGGGGAAACCCUGAUGCAGCGACGCCGCGUGAGCGAUGAAGCCCUUCGGGGUGUAAAGCUCUUUCGUCAGGGAAGAUCAUGACGGUACCUGGAGAAGCAGCUGCGGCUAACUACGUGCCAGCAGCCGCGGUAAUACGUAGGCAGCGAGCGUUGUUCGGAGUUACUGGGCGUAAAGGGUGUGUAGGCGGUUCUUUAAGUUUGGUGUGAAAUCUCCCGGCUCAACCGGGAGGGUGCGCCGAAUACUGAGGGACUUGGAGUGCGGGAGAGGAAAGUGGAAUUCCUGGUGUAGCGGUGAAAUGCGUAGAUAUCAGGAGGAACACCGGUGGUGUAGACGGCUUUCUGGACCGUAACUGACGCUGAGACACGAAAGCGUGGGUAGCAAACAGGAUUAGAUACCCUGGUAGUCCACGCCCUAAACGAUGCAUAUUUGGUGUGGGUCAUUCAGUUGAUCCGUGCCGGAGCUAACGCGUUAAAUAUGCCGCCUGGGGAGUACAGUCGCAAGGCUGAAACUCAAAGGAAUUGACGGGGGCCCGCACAAGCGGUGGAGCAUGUGGUUCAAUUCGACGCAACGCGAAGAACCUUACCUGGGCUCGAACGGCUGGUCAACGGAAGGUGGAAACAUCUUUACCCCGCAAGGGGGUCCAGU